rnacentral:rRNA from 1 species
GCCUGAUGCAGCGACGCCGCGUGAGGGAUGACGGCCUUCGGGUUGUAAACCUCUUUCAGCAGGGAAGAAGCGAAAGUGACGGUACCUGCAGAAGAAGCGCCGGCUAACUACGUGCCAGCAGCCGCGGUAAUACGUAGGGCGCAAGCGUUGUCCGGAAUUAUUGGGCGUAAAGAGCUCGUAGGCGGCUUGUCACGUCGGUUGUGAAAGCCCGGGGCUUAACCCCGGGUCUGCAGUCGAUACGGGCAGGCUAGAGUGUGGUAGGGGAGAUCGGAAUUCCUGGUGUAGCGGUGAAAUGCGCAGAUAUCAGGAGGAACACCGGUGGCGAAGGCGGAUCUCUGGGCCAUUACUGACGCUGAGGAGCGAAAGCGUGGGGAGCGAACAGGAUUAGAUACCCUGGUAGUCCACGCCGUAAACGGUGGGAACUAGGUGUUGGCGACAUUCCACGUCGUCGGUGCCGCAGCUAACGCAUUAAGUUCCCCGCCUGGGGAGUACGGCCGCAAGGCUAAAACUCAAAGGAAUUGACGGGGGCCCGCACAAGCAGCGGAGCAUGUGGCUUAAUUCGACGCAACGCGAAGAACCUUACCAAGGCU